rnacentral:rRNA from 1 species
GCGACCCCAGGACGGGCGAGGCCACCUGCUGAGUUUAAG